UACGUAGGGUGCGAGCGUUAAUCGGAAUUACUGGGCGUAAAGCGUGCGCAGGCGGUCGUGCAAGACCGAUGUGAAAUCCCCGGGCUUAACCUGGGAAUGGCAUUGGUGACUGCACGGCUAGAGUGUGUCAGAGGGGGGUAGAAUUCCACGUGUAGCAGUGAAAUGCGUAGAGAUGUGGAGGAAUACCGAUGGCGAAGGCAGCCCCCUGGGAUAACACUGACGCUCAUGCACGAAAGCGUGGGGAGCAAACAGG
rnacentral:rRNA from 1 species